rnacentral:tRNA from 1 species
GGAGAGGUGCCAGAGUGGUCGAUCGGGGUGGUCUCGAAAACCACUGAACGGGCAACCGUUCCGAGGGUUCGAAUCCCUCCCUCUCCGCCA